rnacentral:rRNA from 1 species
CUUGCAUCCAGGGGUUGUAGGACUGAUGUUGAGUUACAAAGGUAUAAGAUAGCAGAAACAGUUGGGAAGCUGUUCCAAAGAGGGUGACAGGCCCGUAUGCGAAAUCUUGUACUCUCUAAUCAGGAUCCUGAGUACGGCCCAGCACGUGAAAUUGGGUCGGAAUCUGGGAGGACCAUCUCCCAAGGCUAAAUACUAACUAGUGACCGAUAGCGAACAAGUACCGUGAGGGAAAGGUGAAAAGAACCCCGGAAGGGGAGUGAAAUAGUUCUUGAAACCGUGUGCUUACAAGAAGUUCGAGGCCGUUAAUGGCUGAGAGCGUGCUUUUUGUAGAAUGAACCGGAGAGUUACGAUUGCGUGCAAGGUUAAGGUGCAAAGACUGGAGCCGUAGCGAAAGCGAGUCUUAAUAGGGCGAAUCAGUACGUAGUUGUAGACCCGAAACCGAGUGACCUAUCCAUGGUCAGGUUGAAGGUGGGGUAAUACCUACUGGAGGACCGAACAAGUGGGUGUUAAAAAACCCUUUGAUGAACUGUGGAUAGCGGUGAAAUUCCAAUCGAACUCGGAGAUAGCUGGUUCUAUCCGAAAUACAUUUAGGUGUAGCCUUGCAAUUAGCUUACUGGAGGUAGAGCACUAUUUGGUCUAGGGGCCCUUCAAGGGUUACCAAAAUCAGAUAAACUCCGAAUGCCAGCUAAGUAUGUGCAGGAGUCAGACGGUGAGUGAUAAGAUCCAUCGUCAAAAGGGGAACAGCCCAGAUCACCAGUUAAGGUCCCUAAAUAUAUGCUAAGUGGAAAACGUUGUGAAGGUGCAUAGACAACUAGGAGGUUGGCUCAGAAGCAGCCACCCUUUAAAGAGUGCGUAAUAGCUCACUAGUCGAGUGCUCUUGCGCGGAUAAUGUACCGGGGCUAAGCAUAUUACCGAAACUGUGGAUGCGUAAGCAUGGUAGGAUAGCGUAAUUAACGCGAUGAAGGAUGACCGUAAGGACAUGUUGGAGCGUUAACUAGUGAGAAUUCCGGUAUGAGUAGCGAAAGAUAGGUGAGAAUCCUAUCCACCGAAUGAGUAAGGUUUCCCCCGGAAGGCUCGUCCGCGGGGGGUUAGUCGGGACCUAAGGCGAGGCUGAAAAGCGUAGUCGAUGGACAACAGGUUGAUAUUCCUGUACCGAUAUUUAAUUGCCGAAGGAAGGACGCAGAAGGAUAACACAGGCCACUAUUGGAUGUGGUUUUAAACAGUUAGUCUUCAUAAGAGUCAAAUGCUUUUAUGUUUAAGGAUAAGCUGUGAAUGUACCAAGUUUACUUGGAAAUUGUGUGAUUUCACGCUGCUGAAAAAAGUUUCGUAGGAAGAAAAUAUUGCCCGUACCGCAAACCGACACAGGUACUCAAGUGGAGAACACUAAGGUGAGCGAGUGAACUAUUGUUAAGGAACUCUGCAAAAUGAGUCCGUAACUUCGGAAGAAGGACUGCUGGUUUUAUACCAGCCGCAGCAAAUAGGCCCAAACAACUGUUUAUCAAAAACACAGGUUUCUGCAAAAUCGUAAGAUGAAGUAUAGGGGCUGACGCCUGCCCAGUGCUGGAAGGUUAAAAGGAGGACUUAGCUUCGGCGAAGGUCUUAAUUGAAGCCCCAGUGAACGGCGGCCGUAACUAUAACGGUCCUAAGGUAGCGAAAUUCCUUGUCGGGUAAGUUCCGACCCGCAUGAAAGGCGUAAUGAUUUGGGCGCUGUCUCAACAAUAGACUCGGUGAAAUUUAAAUUCCAGUGAAGAUGCUGGGUACCCGCGACAGGACGGAAAGACCCCGUGGAGCUUUACUGUAGCUUGAUAUUGAAUGUUUGUGCUGCAUGUGCAGGAUAGGUAGGAGACUUUGAAGUCGGAACGCUAGUUUCGAUUGAGUCACCCUUGAGAUACUACCUCUGUUGUAUGAACGUUCUAACUCUGAUCAGUUAUCCUGAUCGAAGACAGUGUCUGGCAGGCAGUUUGACUGGGGCGGUCGCCUCCUAAAAGAUAACGGAGGCGCUCAAAGGUUUGCUCAGAAUGGUUGGAAAUCAUUCGUAGCGUGUAAAGGCAUAAGCAAGCUUGACUGUGAGACUGACAAGUCGAGCAGGUACGAAAGUAGGACUUAGUGAUCCGGUGGUUCCGUAUGGAAGGGCCAUCGCUCAACGGACAAAAGCUACCCCGGGGAUAACAGGCUCAUCUCCCCCAAGAGUCCACAUCGACGGGGAGGUUUGGCACCUCGAUGUCGGCUCAUCGCAUCCUGGGGCUGUAGUCGGUCCCAAGGGUUGGGCUGUUCGCCCAUUAAAGCGGUACGCGAGCUGGGUUCAGA